rnacentral:rRNA from 1 species
UACGGGGGGUGCGAGCGUUAAUCGGAUUAACUGGGCGUAAAGGGCACGCAGGCGGACUUUUAAGUGAGGUGUGAAAUCCCCGGGCUUAACCUGGGAAUUGCAUUUCAUACUGGGAGUCUAGAGUACUGUAGAGGGGGGUAGAAUUCCACGUGUAGCGGUGAAAUGCGUAGAGAUGUGGAGGAAUACCGAAGGCGAAGGCAGCCCCCUGGAAAUGUACUGACGCUCAUGUGCGAAAGCGUGGGGAGCAAACAGG